rnacentral:rRNA from 1 species
CCUACGGGAGGCUGCAGUAGGGAAUCUUUCACAAUGGGCGAAAGCCUGAUGGAGCAACGCCGCGUGCAGGAUGAAGGCCUUCGGGUUGUAAACUGCUUUUAUAAGCGAGAAAUAUGAUGGUAACUUAUGAAUAAGGAUCGGCUAACUACGUGCCAGCAGCCGCGGUCAUACGUAGGAUCCGAGCAUUAUCCGGAGUGACUGGGUGUAAAGAGUUGCGUAGGUGGCUAAGUAAGUAGCUAGGGAAAUUUGGUGGCUUAACCAUUCAGACUAUUAGCUAAACUGCGAAGCUCGAGACCGUUAGGGGUAACUGGAAUUUCUAGUGUAGGAGUGAAAUGCGUAGAUAUUAGGAGGAACACCGAUAGCGAAGGCAGGUUACUGGUACGGUUCUGACACUGAGGCACGAAAGCGUAGGGAGCAAACGGGAUUAGAUACCCCAGUAGUC